ACUUUUUUGUUGUGGUAAGGUUUUCAACCCUGUGUCAGUGCGAUUGACUAAAAUAUCAAAAAAUUUAACCUUAGUGCAGUUUAUUUGGGAAAAAUAUUGAUAGAAAAGGUAAUGUUUGAUCUAAGUAAUUUUAUUGAUAAUAACAGCUGAUCUGUUUGAACUUUUUCGGAGCCAACUUUACAUUUAACCGUUUUGCCGUUAUAUAUUUGAACAGUACACAUAGUAAGGGUUGUUUGUAAAAAAAAUGUUCUUAAAUCUUUUGGAAUAAUUUAAGUUUGGGGUCCUAUCGAAAAGGGAAGAUCAAAAACAGUAUCUUUAGCAUAUUUUACUGUUUUACUACAAAAAGAGUAAAAAUGCAGUUCAAGCAGGGCGAAAAUUAUUUUCGUUCCGACAAUUUCUAUUUCGAGGAGGCAUCACGUCCUGAAAGGCCCAUUGAAGCCGAAGCGGAUAAAACAAAGUCAUUGGUCGAUGCAAAUCGUCGAAUAACAACUCAAGAGAAUGCUGAAAAAUAAAAUUUGUCUAAUUUCAUAAAAUCUUUUAUACAAUAAAAAAAAAAUUUAUUUAAAUUGAA